rnacentral:rRNA from 1 species
ACAGCCACACCACCCUAAAUGCUCCUCGUCUCGUCUGAACUCAGAAGCUAAGCGGGACCGGACCUGGCUCGUACUUCAGUGGGAGAAGGGCCAGGGUCCCGACAGUC